AAUGCAGGACACUGGGCUCUGGCGGCCGGAGUUGGGGACCAGGUGAAGCGGAGUCGGUCCAGGGCCGGCCGGGAGCAGGCCGGAGGCUGAGCGGCGGCCACUGCAGCGGCAGCCGGGAGGGGGGAGGAGAGGCGCAGCCCGAGGAGCCGCCGCUGCGGCUCCCCCGCCUCCCGGGCUGAGGGGGCUGCACACAAGGCAUCCUUUAAGCAUAGCCCCUCUCUCAUGAGUAAUCAAGACAUGGUCAACAAAUAGUUAAAGGCAUAAACUUUGCUGUCCACGUUUUAUCUGGAUUAAGUUUUUCUAUGUUGUGAG
rnacentral:lncRNA from 1 species